AGAGUUGAAGAGUAAGACUGAAAGCAUUCAUUCAGCCCUUUUAUGCACUAAAUUAGCAAUAUUAUUUAAGCUCUUCCAGCCCUUCCUGACUAACCCUGGGACAAAGCCACCCCAAACCAGGAGCUGGGAGCAAGGGAGCCUUGGAUAACAGCAGCCCAAAGCCACAGGAAAAAGAGGUACAUGGAGCUGAACCAAAGCUCCCUAGAAAUGAAAGGGAAAUGUUUCACAGAGACAGUAACUCCCACAUCCCUUUAUCUCCCAGGUCACCACAAGUGCUGCUAAAUAAAGACAUUUACAUGUGUUUUUCAUAGAACCACAUGGAAAUGUCAGUGUUGGAUUCUUUGGCUGUGCUUAUUUCUCUCUGCUCCAUCAUCAGCUCACUAUAAACUAAAUUCCUCAACUUUUUAAAUCAUUCAGAUUCUUGUUAAAAAGUAUUUGACUAAUCUUUAAUGAAUUAAUAUUGUCUAUGAACAGUGGGAUUAUUAGAUUUUCCCUCCAAAUAGAUAAAUUUCAAUGAUAUGUUUACUUGGAAAAAUAAAUCUGCUCACACAAUUGAAGAUUACAGGAAUUCUUGAUAAACAUCAACAGAGAGAAAUCAAUCUGCUUUCAUUUUAAAUACGACAGCCAGGCAAAAAUAAAACAAUUCUGCUUGAUAACUUGUCACUGUUAUGAGAGUGUACACUCAAAACAGGGCUUAUUUAAAUCAAAUUCUCUUCUCUGCAGACUAAAAACUUGCUGGUUUUUUUUUUCCCUUCUUUUUUUAGUAGAUGUUUGAUUUCUGCUUUUCUACUCACAGGAAUUUUUGACUAUUAUUUUAGUCUCACGAAAUACUAUUUGAUGGGAACAUAUUGGUGGUAUUUUAUUUCACAAUAAUGUGAGAGUUUAAUUUUUUAAUUUGAGGAGUUAAGGCCUGAUUCUGCCCUCGGUCCUGCCAAGAUAAAUCAGGACCAACUCCACCAAAAUGAAUGAACUCACAACCACAUCAUUGAAAUCGGAGUUUAUGUGCACCACAAACACACUCAACACACAGGCACAGGGUUCAAAAAUAGCUCAGAAUAACAAAACUAAAGCAACUCACCUCGAGAAGAAAAUACACUGGAUUUACACCUGAGCUCUAAAUUAUAUUCAGAUUAUUAUUUCAAAAUAGAUCAUAAAAGAUAUCACAGCAGCCACAAUAUGCUUUGAAAACUAAACUGCUCCCAAGAACUCAUCUGCAACCCACAUAAAAACGGGAGUUUUCCUCCACAGCCCCUAUUUAGCUGAUUUUCUCAAGCCUUUUGUAAAGAUCUGGGAGGCCAAGGAGUGCCAGAUGAACUCUGCUCGUUGUCAAUUAGCACUGUUACAUCAGAAUUUCACUAUUAGUGAUUUUUCUGAUUAGAAGCUUUCUGUAAAAAGGAUCAUUUUGGUUGCUCCUGUUUCAUCCUCGUGCAGAGGCACCUCCAGUUCUCCCUGGCAGCACACAACACCAAUGCCUGCAGUUCACAGACAGACCUCACACCAACUGUUAACCAUGAAGGAAAGGAGGAUUCCCAUGACCACAGUGAAAUAUAACUCUGAUAAAAAUGUAUCAUCACCAAGUGAUAUAACUCAAGGUUGAGAUGAUUAAAAAACCAGGCAAAUACAAGACUUGCCAAAAAUCCAUGCCUCUGUUGGGGGCAGGAGAAAGGAAAAGACCCCCAAAAAAGGUGAUGAUGAAGUAGUGCUUCCCCCAGUCCUGGUCAGUGUGAGGAGCUCACUGCAGCAGGAGGGACCAGCUGAUGGUGGGUGGCUGCAGGGGAAAGGUCAGAGAAAUACAGUUCCAUUUACAACACAUUUUAGUGCUUGGAAGCCAUUCUGUGGAGUUAUCCAGUCUCAGGCAGGGCAAGUGCCAGCUGGGAACAAUCCCUCCUCUCCUCGUGUGCAGCCCUGCACCCUCAGCCUGGCACGGUGAAGGACUCACUGACAAUAACCACCACCAUGGAAUGCUGAAAGGAAAAUCCAGUGCAAACAUGGCACCACCACAGCUGGAGCACAGCUCUUCCACAUGGCAAAGAGGGACUUUUCCCGUGCCAGCCGUGGGCUCUCUCCUGAGCUGGGAUCCUACAGCUCCACACUGGACGGGCCCAACGGCUCACGGGUACGGAACACGGGCAGAGCUGGCAGGAGGCAAUGAUCAGGACUGGUGGAAUGGGAUGAGGGCUGGGGUCCUGAUCCAGUGGGGAGGAUGGAAGAUGCAAGGGAAGUUCACCACAAGGUACGGGCGGGACAGGAAACGGUGGUGGCAGGAGAUGAGGUACCUGGUCGGAAGCAAAAGGUUCCAAGCUUGCAGUGAGGAGAACGUGUGGCAGGAGAGGGGACGGGGAGUUUUACUCUUCUCUCACAUCUGUGUGGCAGAAAAAGAGAGUCACAACGGUGAGGGCCUGACAAGUAGGUGUGGGGGAACACGUCUCUGAAGUUCUGGUGUGGAGAACAGCCAAAAUGAAACAGCCCUUCCCGGCCACACUCCUCAGCCAUGACAGAAAGUUGUAACACUCCUCUUAUUUUUGCUGCUUCUGGACAUUCCUGGCAGGACAGAAUAAGCUUGGAGAGGUGGUUGUACGAAUCUAUCCAAUCUUCUCCUUGUUAAAACCUGACUCUUGUUUCCCUUACAGCCACCUCCUGCUCUUUCUUGUGCUGGGCACACAUUUCUAAUCCAACUCUCAGGAACUAAACCAUCUCUUUAUUUAUUUCACACUGUAAAGUUCCACCCAUUUUUUGCCAGACCGGUUAUAUUUUCCUUUUAUUAUUUAGGAUUUACAGUUUGUCCUGCACACAGUCUUUGGGAAACACAUAUCAAACUGCAGCAAAUCAAUAAUUCAUUUGACCAACAACAAAAAAAAUCCUGCAGGCUCCCUGUGAAUCCUAACUAUGCAUGGACAGGUGCCAAAUAAACCUCUUGAUCCAGAGCCAUUUAGAGCUCUGUUCUCUGGAAGCAGGCUCAGAAGGAAUGUGUUUCCAUAGGUGUUUAUAUUCCUGCACAUCCUUCCUCACAAAAUGAACCCUGCAUAUAUUCCAGUCAACCCUUGCAUGUAACAGAGCAGGAACAAUGGCCAGGCAGAGCUGUGUCUUUAAUAUCAAACAGCAGCAGCUCUGUCAGAGCAGGGGGAGAACAGGAAGAAGUGCAGAGCUUUCCCUGCCCUCCCCCAGUGCCAGCACUGCCCUGGACAAACAGUGCCCAAGCGUUCUGAUGGAUCUCGAGGAGCACAUGUUGGAAUAACCCCGUGUGAGGGGCACAGAGAGGCCUGUCAGAAGUCCCCACUGCUGCAGGAAGCAGCUUUCCUGUUCCAGAUGUAGCUACAAGUCCUGCCUGGAUUUUGGUGGAGCCCCCGAUGUGGUGGGUGGCAACUCUGCUCCGAGUCGCUGCGAAACACUGAGAAGGAGGAGUGGAAUCAUCUCAGAAUCGAUGGCAAACACAAAUAUCUGCUGGAGGGAAUUCAGCACAGACAGUUCAUACUCUUAUGUUCAUCAAUGGUAGCAAAUUAAAACUGGUCCUACACACUCAAUGCCCGGGCCUGGAGUAUUUAAAAGCCCUCAAUAUGUGAAGCGUGGUGUAUCUCCAGAGAAAUUAGGUAUUGACUGCACGCCUCAGUGAGCAGGGAAUCUGCAAAAAUCCAUAGCAGCCAUUGAUCCAAAUAUUACUUUUUAACACUAACUAUGUAACAAUUUUUUAAAUGUACACUGGGUACAGUUAUAAUUCUCUUUAAUUAUCAAUCAACAAGCCAAAGUGUAACACUGUUUAUACAGCAUGGUCUUUAAAAAUGGAUCCAGUGACUACACUCCAACCCGAUGCCCAAACUAUCAAUGCAGUUGUGCUACAGGAAAUUGGUAUCCAAAUAGACAGGGUUUCAAUUUAAAACACCCACACACUGGUUGGGAUGGGAUCCUGCCACCAAAUACUGGCUUCAUGAAAGGAGGUUAUAUCAGCUCCAAGCAUUGCCAAGAGGCACUUUUGAAAGCAACAAACUCAUAAUUUUAUUAAAGUUUCAGCAUGUACCUCAAAUUUCUGUAUAUAUUCAGUAGCUGCUUCAUGAGGAAGUCAAAAUGUGCUCAUUUGUCUGGCUCAGUGCUGCUCAGGGAGGUUGAGAUAUUUAUGUUGCUACACACAUUUGGGAAAUGCCCGCUGGAAAGGAUCUCAUUUAUACAAAAUAACAUUUAAAAAUUAGAAUUACAUUCCUGGAGCAUCGAAAUUAAAAAAAAACUCCACUGUGAAAAGCUGGGUACCACCAGAAUGAGGGCUGUCUAUGCAGCUCUUAUUUGCCAGCAGUGUUUAAACACUUUCCAGAAGAACACCUGAAUGUCCUGAAACUUCUCCACAACUCCAAACCUCACAACAAGGGAUGAGGGAAACCAGUCACUGUGUUCUGCCCUCUGGACCUGGGCACUCUCCAACAGAAGUGGCUGCAGAGGCACCUUUUCCCUGGGAUGUUGAGAGAUCUGCUGCAAAUGGGAAAACUGGUAAUUUGACCUUAAUGGGUUCAGGCUGUUUGUCGUGGUUUAACCCCAGCCAGCAGAUAAAACACCACAGAGCCACUCGCUCACCCCCUGCCCCUCCCUGGUGGGAUGGGAAGCAAAACUGGGGGAAAAAAGGAAAAAUUGAGGGGUUGAGAUAAGCACAGUUUAAUACUUGAAAUGAAAUUCAAAAAAUAAUAAUUAAAAGGGAGACAAUAAAGAGAGAGGGGAAUAAAAUCCAGGAGAGACAGGUGGUGCACAAUACAGUUGCUCAGCACCCACCUGAGCAGUGAUGGGCCCCUCCCAGCACACCCCCCAGAUUAUCCACUGCCCAGGUCAUCCCAUGUUAUGGAAAAGCCCUUUGGCCAGCUCAGCUCAGCUCCCUCCCAGCUCCUUGUGCAGCCCCUCACUGGCAGGGCAUGGGAACUCCACAGUCCUGGAUUUAGGGAAAGCAUCACUCAGCAACAACCAAACCAUCCUGUGUUAUCAGUGCUGUUCUCACCCUAAACCCAAACCACAGCACUGCACCAGCUACUGGGAUGAAAAUUAACUCUCUUUUGGUUUCUGGAGUCCUCCACUUUUAACCACUUCCAUCCUGGCUUUAGCCACUUGAAGGGGUUUAUCUAAGCCACAGAUUGCAAAACUCACCUCACACCCCAGUCUCUAAGACUUCCCUGCACUUUCAAACAAAAGGAAUUACCUGUCCUGUAAUCCCAUACUGUGACCAGACACUUCCAAACUAGAUGUUAUAACCAUCCAACUGCCAAAUCCCAAACACUCCAGCUUCCACUACUCUUCAAAGAGCAUCCACAUCAAACACCAGUGCACAGCCACAGUGCUCACACCACCAGGCAAAGCAGAGUCAGAGCUCCAGAAAACACCCUGUGCGCUUGGCAGGGCCAGAAGAGCCCAGAACAGAUCCCUCCUCACCACAAAACACUUUUUAGCAGGUGAAAAGGUGCAAUUGUCUCAGCAGGAAAUACUUGACAGUCUUAUUUCAUUUUUCCUAAUGACCAGAGUUAAACGAUUGCAGGUUUUAACAGCUCCGGCAAAUUAUCAGGCCCCUCUACAUUACAUGGUCAAUGGGCCUUUUAAUAGAAAAAGCAAUAAUAUACAGUUGUUUGUGCCAACUAAAACUCAUUAGAAAGUAUUAGUUUAAGGUAACAGUUCAGCAGCUAUUAACAAGCACAAAUUUCUGCACUUAUCCCUCGUGCCAGGCUGGCAGCAGCAAACCAGUCCUUUUUAGAAGAUCUUCGGGGUGGAGAGGGGGAGAGGGGAAAGAAAAGUUAACAAAAAGACACUUUCAUAGCAAGAGUCAAACUUUUUCAAUAAUGACCAUUUUUUUCACUAGCAUAACAUUAGAAUUGACUUUUUGUCUUGCUGACAUAGCAACUAAGAAAGUUGUGUUGCAUUGACCAUAUUGAUUGCGAACAAUGCAGCCAUCAGUGGGACUUUACACCAUAUAUUUUCAAUAUUGACCUCCCAGUCCCUUUUCCAUGGCUCCAUGGGUCUGCUAUUGGAUUUGGACUGCAGUGUAAUAAACAGCUAAGGUUUAAUUAAUGGUAAAUGAAUACAAGACAUAGGUUAUGACUUUAACUAAUUAGGGAAUUGUUGAAUUAAGUCUGCCUUGGAAUGCAAGGCAGUACAAUCAAUAUCCAAUAAAAGGACUAUGUAUGUAAUUUACCUGCAAAUGUGUUUCCAAUACCAUCAAAGUGAGUUUAAAUAAGUAAGAUAUAUGAAAGGCUACUGGAAAAAGAUUUCAAAAAGUUAACGCUUUAUGGCUUCAAAAAAGGUUUUUCUCCUUGCAGAAGGAAUGUCAUCCUUGAAAUAUCCUCCCAUAACACAGAUGGUGACACUCAGGCACAGCUCUCCCUAAAGGACAGUGCACACUCAAAAUGUUUUUCCUUCCCAAUGCAACAUUAGCAAACAGUGCAGCAAACACCAACCAGUGCUCCCAACAUGGACCAAUUCAAUGUAAUGGUGAGCUCUUCUCAGGGGGUCUUGGUCUGCAGAGCCUUCCAGGGUCCAUCCUGCCACCCCCCUUCCCUCCCAGCCCUGAGAAACAUUCCCAGGAACAGGAGGAGGUCACCACCCGAGGGGCAGAGCAGUCCCCAGCCUGCUCCUGCUGUGUACAUCAGCUCCCACGGCCCCAUUCCUCAUUCUGUAGUCACUCAUCUGAAAUAAAAAAAGAGACCUACCUA